GACGAACGCUGGCGGCGUGCCUAAUACAUGCAAGUAGAACGCUGAAGGAGGAGCUUGCUUCUCUGGAUGAGUUGCGAACGGGUGAGUAACGCGUAGGUAACCUGCCUGGUAGCGGGGGAUAACUAUUGGAAACGAUAGCUAAUACCGCAUAAUAUUGACUAUUGCAUGAUAGUCAGUUGAAAGGUGCAACUGCACCACUACCAGAUGGACCUGCGUUGUAUUAGCUAGUUGGUGGGGUAACGGCUCACCAAGGCGACGAUACAUAGCCGACCUGAGAGGGUGAUCGGCCACACUGGGACUGAGACACGGCCCAGACUCCUACGGGAGGCAGCAGUAGGGAAUCUUCGGCAAUGGACGGAAGUCUGACCGAGCAACGCCGCGUGAGUGAAGAAGGUUUUCGGAUCGUAAAGCUCUGUUGUAAGAGAAGAACGAGUGUGAGAGUGGAAAGCUCACACUGUGACGGUAUCUUACCAGAAAGGGGCGGCUAACUACGUG
rnacentral:rRNA from 1 species